AACACAAAAUCCAGAACUUGUAUAUUAACUAAACUUGGAAUCAAAUACAAAAGAUAAAGAAUUUGGAAGAAAUACAACCCUUGUCACAUGAGCUUUCUUCCUUGCCUUCUUCAUCCUUCAUCUUCAUCCUAAUCUAGAUAAUAAACAAGAAUGGAAAAGCUACACUACUCUAUACUAAGCUAAACUAACACUAGGGAGAUGAAAGAGCUACAUUUCUGCAGU
rnacentral:lncRNA from 1 species